GCUGACCCCCAGCCCUCUGUUAUCUACGCCCAGGUAGCAGUUGGGAAGCAUCACUGAUGCCUCCAUACGUGUGCACAAACACGUGUGUGUCGUGUGCACACGUGUACCUCCAGCGUGCACAGUGCAGAUGUGCACAACACGGCACACGCGUGUCCUUAGCAUGUUUUCUGAGACUGGUAAAGAAUGCACGAGGUGACCAACGGCACUUUGUGGGCAGUUUUUCAUUCCCAAGCGGUGCUUUGAAGAAAAGCUCUCAGUAAAUGGAUGUGUAUUCCUGCUCUGA